rnacentral:rRNA from 1 species
GCGAGGGGAUCGCAAGACCUUGCGCUGAUUGAGCGGCCGAUAUCAGAUUAGCUAGUUGGUGAGGUAAAGGCUCACCAAGGCGACGAUCUGUAGCGGGUCUGAGAGGAUGAUCCGCCACACUGGAACUGAGACACGGUCCAGACUCCUACGGGAGGCAGCAGUGGGGAAUUUUUGGACAAUGGGCGCAAGCCUGAUCCAGCCAUGCCGCGUGAGUGAAGAAGGCCUUCGGGUUGUAAAGCUCUUUCGGCCGGGAAGAAAUCGCACGGGUUAAUACCCUGUGUGGAUGACGGUACCGGAAUAAGAAGCACCGGCUAACUACGUG